GAAUGCUGACAUAAGUAACGAUAAAGCGGGUGAAAAGCCCGCUCGCCGGAAGACCAAGGGUUCCUGUCCAACGUUAAUCGGGGCAGGGUGAGUCGACCCCUAAGGCGAGGCCGAAAGGCGUAGUCGAUGGGAAACGGGUUAAUAUUCCCGUACUUGGUGUUACUGCGAAGGGGGGACGGAGAAGGCUAUGUUGGCCGGGCGACGGUUGUCCCGGUUUAAGCGUGUAGGUGUGUGUUCCAGGUAAAUCCGGUUCACUUUAACACUGAGGCGUGAUGACGAGGCACUACGGUGCUGAAGCAACAAAUGCCCUGCUUCCAGGAAAAGCCUCUAAGCAUCAGGUAACAUCAAAUCGUACCCCAAACCGACACAGGUGGUCAGGUAGAGAAUACCAAGGCGCUUGAGAGAACUCGGGUGAAGGAACUAGGCAAAAUGGUGCCGUAACUUCGGGAGAAGGCACGCUGACACGUAGGUGAAGUGAUUUACUCAUGGAGCUGAAGUCAGUCGAAGAUACCAGCUGGCUGCAACUGUUUAUUAAAAACACAGCACUGUGCAAACACGAAAGUGGACGUAUACGGUGUGACGCCUGCCCGGUGCCGGAAGGUUAAUUGAUGGGGUCAGCGCAAGCGAAGCUCCUGAUCGAAGCCCCGGUAAACGGCGGCCGUAACUAUAACGGUCCUAAGGUAGCGAAAUUCCUUGUCGGGUAAGUUCCGACCUGCACGAAUGGCGUAAUGAUGGCCAGGCUGUCUCCACCCGAGACUCAGUGAAAUUGAACUCGCUGUGAAGAUGCAGUGUACCCGCGGCAAGACGGAAAGACCCCGUGAACCUUUACUAUAGCUUGACACUGAACAUUGAGCCUUGAUGUGUAGGAUAGGUGGGAGGCUUUGAAGCGUGGACGCCAGUCUGCGUGGAGCCGACCUUGAAAUACCACCCUUUAAUGUUUGAUGUUCUAACGUGGACCCGUAAUCCGGGUUGCGGACAGUGUCUGGUGGGUAGUUUGACUGGGGCGGUCUCCUCCUAAAGAGUAACGGAGGAGCACGAAGGUUGGCUAAUCCUGGUCGGACAUCAGGAGGUUAGUGCAAUGGCAUAAGCCAGCUUGACUGCGAGCGUGACGGCGCGAGCAGGUGCGAAAGCAGGUCAUAGUGAUCCGGUGGUUCUGAAUGGAAGGGCCAUCGCUCAACGGAUAAAAGGUACUCCGGGGAUAACAGGCUGAUACCGCCCAAGAGUUCAUAUCGACGGCGGUGUUUGGCACCUCGAUGUCGGCUCAUCACAUCCUGGGGCUGAAGUAGGUCCCAAGGGUAUGGCUGUUCGCCAUUUAAAGUGGUACGCGAGCUGGGUUUAGAACGUCGUGAGACAGUUCGGUCCCUAUCUGCCGUGGGCGCUGGAGAACUGAGGGGGGCUGCUCCUAGUACGAGAGGACCGGAGUGGACGCAUCACUGGUGUUCGGGUUGUCAUGCCAAUGGCACUGCCCGGUAGCUAAAUGCGGAAGAGAUAAGUGCUGAAAGCAUCUAAGCACGAAACUUGCCCCGAGAUGAGUUCUCCCUGAGACUUUAGGUCUCCU
rnacentral:rRNA from 1 species